rnacentral:rRNA from 1 species
UCCAGACUCCUACGGGAGGCAGUAGUGGGGAAUAUUGGACAAUGGGGGGAACCCCGAUCCAGCGACGCCGCGUGAGUGAAGAAGUAUUUCGGUAUGUAAAGCUCUCUCAGCAGGGAAGAAAGAAAUGACGGUACCUGACUAAGAAGCCCCGGCUAACUACGUGCCAGCAGCCGCGGUAAUACGUAGGGGGCAAGCGUUAUCCGGAUUUACUGGGUGUAAAGGGGGCGCAGACGGCCAUGGCAAGCCCGGUGUGAAAGGCAGGGGCAUAACCCCUGGACUGCACUGGGAACUGUCAGGCUGGAGUGCCGGAGGGGUAAGCGGAAUUCCUGGUGUAGCGGUGAAAUGCGUAGAUAUCAGGAGGAACACCGGCGGCGAAGGCGGCUUACUGGACGGCAACUGACGUUGAGGCCCGAAAGCGUGGGGAGCAAACAGGAUUAGAUACCCCGGUAU